AUUGAACGCUGGCGGCAGGCCUAACACAUGCAAGUCGAGCGGAUGAAGCGAGCUUGCUCCUGGAUUCAGCGGCGGACGGGUGAGUAAUGCCUAGGAAUCUGCCUGGUAGUGGGGGAUAACGUCCGGAAACGGGCGCUAAUACCGCAUACGUCCUGAGGGAGAAAGUGGGGGAUCUUCGGACCUCGCGCUAUCAGAUGAGCCUAGGUCGGAUUAGCUAGUUGGUGGGGUAACGGCCUACCGAGGCGACGAUCCGGAACUGGUCUGAGAGGAUGAUCAGUCACACUGGAGCGGAGACACGGUCCAGACGCCUACGGGAGGCAGCAGUGGGGAAUAUUGGACAAUGGGGGAAAGACUGAUGCAGCCAUGCCGCGUGUGUGAAGAAGGUCUUCGGAUUGUAAAGCACUUUAAGUGGGGGGGAAGGGCAGUAAGUUAAUACCUUGCUGUUUUGACGUUACCAACAGAAGAAGCACCGGCUAACUUCGUG
rnacentral:rRNA from 1 species